rnacentral:rRNA from 1 species
CCGGCGAUUUCCGAAUGGGGAAACCCAGUGUGUUUCGACACACUAUCAUUAACUGAAUCCAUAGGUUAAUGAGGCGAACCGGGGGAACUGAAACAUCUAAGUACCCCGAGGAAAAGAAAUCAACCGAGAUUCCCCCAGUAGCGGCGAGCGAACGGGGAGCAGCCCAGAGCCUGAAUCAGUGUGUGUGUUAGUGGAAGCGUCUGGAAAGGCGCGCGAUACAGGGUGACAGCCCCGUACACAAAAAUGCACAUGCUGUGAGCUCGAUGAGUAGGGCGGGACACGUGGUAUCCUGUCUGAAUAUGGGGGGACCAUCCUCCAAGGCUAAAUACUCCUGACUGACCGAUAGUGAACCAGUACCGUGAGGGAAAGGCGAAAAGAACCCCGGCGAGGGGAGUGAAAAAGAACCUGAAACCGUGUACGUACAAGCAGUGGGAGCACGCUUAGGCGUGUGACUGCGUACCUUUUGUAUAAUGGGUCAGCGACUUAUAUUCUGUAGCAAGGUUAACCGAAUAGGGGAGCCGAAGGGAAACCGAGUCUUAACUGGGCGUUAAGUUGCAGGGUAUAGACCCGAAACCCGGUGAUCUAGCCAUGGGCAGGUUGAAGGUUGGGUAACACUAACUGGAGGACCGAACCGACUAAUGUUGAAAAAUUAGCGGAUGACUUGUGGCUGGGGGUGAAAGGCCAAUCAAACCGGGAGAUAGCUGGUUCUCCCCGAAAGCUAUUUAGGUAGCGCCUCGUGAAUUCAUCUCCGGGGGUAGAGCACUGUUUCGGCAAGGGGGUCAUCCCGACUUACCAACCCGAUGCAAACUGCGAAUACCGGAGAAUGUUAUCACGGGAGACACACGGCGGGUGCUAACGUCCGUCGUGAAGAGGGAAACAACCCAGACCGCCAGCUAAGGU